GUCAAAGAUGAAUGACAAGGAGGACCAAAAUGAAUGGGACCUUUUGGUCCAGGAAGAACUGAUGAAGGAGGAAGAGGAAUUAUAGAGACAACAAUAUCAUAAUCACGAAGAAAUAGCCUAUCUAAAGUUUCUGGUGCUAGAGCAGCCAAGCUUUCACAACGGAGAAUAUCCACUCGGUAUUUCCUUUUCCUCCUUAAAGUUCCUCUUCCAACAACAGACUCUUCAAUUUUCACAUCAUUCUGGACAUUAAGGUCUGACUUAGAGAUCUCACUUAUGGAAUUAUGGUCUUCAGAUAAGACAGUAGAUGUUUCAUCAGCAGUGCUUCCGGUAACAUAUUCAGCCAUAUGAGAAUCAUCCUGAGGCAUCCCUGAAUUCACAGAAUGAUCAAUCUCUGCAUCAGUUUCAUUGGCACCAGAGUGUCCUAAUUUGUCAGUCAAUGAGACAUCAGCUAUUAAAGUAGUAGCCUCUUCAUCGCUUGAAGCCAAUGUGCCCAUCUUAUUGCAAACUACCUCCACUUUUUCAUUAGAAGCAAUUCCACCUGAUAGCAGACAUUCCAAGACACAACGAAGGCUAAAUGCAUGAUUUGCAAAUUCCUGCAAUUCUCCCUCAAAUUUUGCUCCCUCUAAUGUACUCAGAUCCUUGCAAAGAUCAGCAAUGCUAGCAUGACCUAACUUUCCUGCCUCGUAUAAUGUUACAGCAUGAGAUUUCAGGCCUGGUGAAACCGAUCCCAUCAUAAGAUAGGAAGUUAUAUUAGCAUCAACGAUAAAAGCAACACGAGCAUGGCUGGACUGCAGCCCAUAGUAUUCAAUUCCUGAAAUAUCUCCUUGCUGAGCAACGUCACCGUCAGCGAACACAUUUGCUGCACUUAUGCUAGCACAAGCAGCAUCUUCUUCAUCACUGAGAGCAAUUUUAG
rnacentral:misc_RNA from 1 species